rnacentral:rRNA from 1 species
GAAAGCGGCGAUAGCACGUUAAAUGCACCAGUUCCCUACGGAUCACUGAAGUUAAGCAACGUAGCGCGUAGUUAGUACCUGGAUGGGUGACCAUCUGGGGGAAUCGCGUGCUGCUGGGU